UGGCUCAGUGGAUAGAGCAUUGGCCUGUGGACUCAAGGGUCCCAGGUUCAAUCCUGG
rnacentral:tRNA from 1 species